AACCUUAAGCGAAAUAAAUCAGGAAAAGGGUAACCAAACUAUGGAAUGCAAUCUUUCUUGGUAGUGGCGAAGAGUUAAAUCUUGACAUGAUCCUUAUUGAUCAGCGGGUAUGAUAGUUGUUCACUAUGGUUGAAUUCCAAAAUAGGAGCCUCCCACACUCCCAUAGACUCAAUUUUCUAGAUAACGGCUACAUUGGAAUGCAAAUUAUACCAAGUAGAAGACAUGAAACAUAGUGAUUUGCUUCUUAUUGUCAUCGAUCUUUCAAAUUACAAAAAUUUAAUUAAUUGCACUUAGCAAUUUCAAACAAUACGCAAUACAAUCUUAAAGUCGUAUCGAUCUCUCUCCCCAUUCAUGAUAACCAAAUGUUCAUUAAUAUAUUUAUGUAGUAUUUAAAUUUUGCACAGUCUACACUACAAAAAUGUGUGAUCCUUCUUAGGAUGCGGUAAAUAUUAGGAAAUUAACAAG
rnacentral:lncRNA from 1 species